rnacentral:rRNA from 1 species
UCCUACGGGAGGCAGCAGUGGGGAAUAUUGGACAAUGGGCGCAAGCCUGAUCCAGCCAUGCCGCGUGUGUGAAGAAGGCCUUCGGGUUGUAAAGCACUUUCAGUGGGGAGGAAGGGGUUGUAGUUAAUAGCUGCAACUUUUGACGUUACCCACAGAAGAAGCACCGGCUAACUCCGUGCCAGCAGCCGCGGUAAUAU